rnacentral:rRNA from 1 species
UGGGGAAUAUUGCACAAUGGGCGCAAGCCUGAUGCAGCGACGCCGCGUGAGGGAUGACGGCCUUCGGGUUGUAAACCUCUUUCAGUAGGGAACAAGGCCCCUUGGGGUUGAGGGUACCUGCAGAAGAAGCGCCGGCUAACUACGUGCCAGCAGCCGCGGUAAUACGUAGGGCGCAAGCGUUGUCCGGAAUUAUUGGGCGUAAAGAGCUCGUAGGCGGUUUGUCGCGUCUGCUGUGAAAACGCGAGGCUUAACCUCGCGCCUGCAGUGGGUACGGGCAGACUAGAGUGCGGUAGGGGAGACUGGAAUUCCUGGUGUAGCGGUGGAAUGCGCAGAUAUCAGGAGGAACACCGGUGGCGAAGGCGGGUCUCUGGGCCGUUACUGACGCUGAGGAGCGAAAGCAUGGGGAGCGAACA